rnacentral:rRNA from 1 species
AUUGAACGCUGGCGGCAGGCCUAACACAUGCAAGUCGAGCGAGCGGCGGACGGGUGUGUAAUGUCUGGGAAACUGCCUGUUGGAGGGGGAUAUCUACCGGAAACGGGAGCUAAUACCGCAUACCAUCAGAGGUGCCCAGAUGGGGUUAGCUAGUAGGUGGGGGAACGGCGCACCUAGGCGACGAUCCCUAGCUGGGCUGAGAGGAUGACCAGCCACACGGGAACUGAGACACAUUCCAGACUCCUACUGGAGGCAGCAGUGGGGAAUAUUGCACAAUGGGCGCAAGCCUGAUGCAGCCAUGCCGCGUGUGUGAAGAAGGCCUUCGGGUUGUAAAGGACUUUCAGCGGGGAGGCGUUACCCGCAGAAGAAGCACCGGCUAACUCCGUGCCAGCAGCCGCGGUAAUUC